rnacentral:rRNA from 1 species
UGUAAGCGUAUACCAAAGUUGUUGCAGUUAAAACGCUCGUAGUCGGAAUUUGGCAGUUCCGGAUGUGUGCACGUCGUGUGCGCACUUCGCGGGGAUUGCUUUUGUGGUCUUGCGUAGGAUGAGGCACUUUUAUUAGUGAACGUCCUCACGCAACCACUUUUUACUGUGAGAAAAUCAGAGUGCUCAAAGCAGGCAUUUGCCGUGAAUGUAUUAGCAUGGAAUAAUAGAAUAGGACUUGGUUCUAUUUUGUUGGUUUGUUGGGACUGAGUAAUGAUUAAGAGGGACAGUUGGGGGCAUUUGUAUUUCGGUGCUAGAGGUGAAAUUCUUAGAUUACCGAAAGACAAACUGCUGCGAAAGCGUCUGCCAAGGAUGUUUACAUUGA